GAUCCUGGCUCAGGAUGAACGCUGGCGGCGUGCCUAACACAUGCAAGUCGAGCGAUUUACUUCGGUAAAGAGCGGCGGACGGGUGAGUAACGCGUGGGUAACCUGCCCUAUACACACGGAUAACAUACCGAAAGGUAUGCUAAUACGAGAUAAUAUAAGGAAUUCGCAUGGAUUUCUUAUCAAAGCUUUUGCGGUAUAGGAUGGACCCGCGUCUGAUUAGCUAGUUGGUAAGGUAACGGCUUACCAAGGCGACG
rnacentral:rRNA from 1 species